rnacentral:rRNA from 1 species
UGAGGAAUAUUGCACAAUGGGCGAAAGCCUGAUGCAGCAACGCCGCGUGGAGGACGAAGGCCUUCGGGUCGUAAACUCCUUUUCUGAGGGACGAGGAAGGACGGUACCUCAGGAAUAAGUCUCGGCUAACUACGUGCCAGCAGCCGCGGUAAAACGUAGGAGGCGAGCGUUAUCCGGAUUUACUGGGCGUAAAGCGUACGCAGGUGGCUGUGCAAGUCGGACAUGAAAGCUCCUGGCUUAACUGGGAGAGGUGGUUCGAAACUGCAUGGCUUGAGGUUGGGAGAGGGACGUGGAAUUCCCGGUGUAGUGGUGGAAUGCGUAGAUAUCGGGAGGAACACCAGUGGCGCAAGCGGCGUCCUGGCCCACACCUGACGCUGAGGUACGAAAGCGUGGGGAGCAAACA